ACAGACGGCACAAUUACACGGUAC
rnacentral:siRNA from 1 species